AUGAAAUAUGUUGGAACUUGGGCGACAGAGAUGGAAAUACAAGCAGCCAGUGAUUUAAUUGGUGUAGACAUUUUUACAUACAGUCGAGAGAAAUGGCUUAAAUAUAAAUCUUCAAACAUCUCUAGACAGAGCUGUCAACAACAUGGGAUUUAUUUGAAGCAUGUGAAUAGCUGUCAUUAUGAAGUGGUUGUAUGUGUAAAAACCAACAACAACACAUGUGCUUGCUUUUGUAAAGCAUCUUCUCAAGGUUCAGCCUAUAAUAUACAUUUAAAAGCUAGCUCAAAUCUACGUAAGCUUUAUAAUGAGAGACUGCGAUAUAGUCGUGAUCAUGAUUUUAAAGAAAAGAAAAAAAUGGAAACUAAGGAAAGAUAUGAAGAGAAUAAAAUUUAUAAAGAGAAGAAAAUUAAAUGCAGUACUAAAAAGUACAAGGUAAACAAAUGGCAUCAAGAAAAAGUACGCAAAUACAGCACAGAUAAAUACAGAUUGAAUGAUUUGCAUUGUGAGGCAGUAAAACAAUAUAGUAUCCAAAAGUACCAUACAGACAAAGCACAUAAAGACACUGUCAAACAGUUGAGUAUUCAAAAGUAUAAUGAAAAUACAGCACACAGGGAGUCUGUAAAAAGUAUGAGUAUUCAAAAAUAUAAUGAAGACACAGAACACAGAGAGUCGGUGAAAAAGAUGAGUAUUCAAAAAUAUAAUGAAGACACAGAACACAGAGAGUCAGUCAAAAAGAUGAGCAUUUUAAAGUAUAAUUCAAAUAAAACACACAAAGAGAUGGUUAUAAAUUACAAUGUUCAGAAAUAUAAAACUGAUUUUACUUUUGUCAAUAAUAUAAAAAUGAGAAAUGCUGAAAGACAGUAUAAAUCACAGCUGAAAAUGAAAGAGAUAGACUAUGUAAUUGAACAGUUUAAACAAAAAAUAUCUACAGGUCCUGAAUAUGUUUGUUCAGUAUGUCAUCGUUGCUGCUUUAAAAUGCAGGUAAAAAAAUGCAAUCAAAAUAAAUAUCUUCAAAAAUCAAUCCAUGCUGGUUGUAUGGCAGAAAAAUGUAUUACACUGAAAUAUCUGCAUGAGUGUAAUAAAGAUUGUAGUGAAAACUGUGUCUAUAAAAACAGUCCUGCUGCAUCUUUAUGGAUUUGUCACACAUGUGAUACAAAACUCUGUGAAGGUAAAAUGCCAGCUGAAAGUGUAGCAAAUAAUCUAAGUUUAGAUCCUAUUCCUGCUGAACUGAGCUGUUUAAACUCUCUUGAGCAACAUCUAAUAGGAAAAAAUAUUCCAUUCAUGAAAAUGCUGGCUUUGCCACGAGGAGGACAGAAUGGAAUAUGUGGCCCUGUUGUGUGCAUUCCAUCUAAUGUUACAGAAGUAGUGAAUGUUUUACCAAGAUCAGAAAAUGAUUUUAUGAUACCAAUAAAGCUUAAGAGAAAACUGACAUAUAAAGGGCAUUAUGAGUAUAAAUUUGUGAAUAGUGAUAAAAUUAAAACAGCACUGACAUAUUUAAAAGAGAAUAACAAAUGGUAUACAGAUGUAGAGUUUAACAAAACUUGGAUUAAUCCUCUGAGUAAAAUAGAAGAGGAAAUGACUGAUAAAACAGAAAACAAUGAUAUGGAUUUGGACAAUUGUGAUGAUAUGCGUAUUAACGAAGAGCAAAACAUUGACAAUGAUGAUAAUGAGAUGAGUGAUGAAACACUUCAUGAUCGACAGCAACAUGGUUUGUUUAUGGAUUCAUGUUUGCAGCCAGUGGACAUUGCACAAGAAGUCUUAGAUCAACACUUUGAUGGCAUUAUGUCACUUGCACCAGCAGAGGGCAAUAAUCCAGUGAGAAUGCUAGUGGAUGAAACUAAUGAAGCCAAAUGUUUUCCAGUUCUGUUCCCAAAAGGAAAAGGUACAUUUCAUGAUUCACGACCUGAGAAAUUAACACUGUCUAGGUAUUUAAACAACAGAAUUUUAAAUGCAGAUGGACGUUUUGCCCAAAACCUCGAUUACAUCUUUUAUGGACAAUAUUUGUCAGAGCUGAAUCAAAUUAUGUCUAAUGUAUCUAUUGCAUUGAGGAAAGGCUAUGAUUCAAGCAACAAAACUAAAAUUACCUCAGAAAUGCUGACAAACAAAGACUCACUUCAAAGGAUUUUAAAUUAUGAUGAGGGUUACAAGUUUUUAAGGCCAGUGAGAGGCAGUCCUGUUUUUUGGCAAGCUGUUCAAAAAGAUUUGUUUGCAAUGGUAAGGCAACUUGGGAUCCCAACAUGGUUUUGCUCAUUUUCCUCAGCUGACUUGCGAUGGCCAGAGUUAAUGCAGUGUAUUGUCAAACAAGAGGGUUGUCAAACUCCUAUUGAUGAACUGGACUGGUCUGAUAGAUGUGGGAUGCUGAAACGAAACCCAGUAACUGCUGCCAGAAUGUUUGAUCAUCGAUUCCACUGUUUUCUGAAAGAUGUCAUUAUGUCACCAGCUCAACCCAUUGGAAAAAUAAUAGAUUAUUUCUAUCGAAUUGAAUUUCAACAACGUGGAUCACCUCACACACAUUGUCUGUUUUGGGUUGAGAAUGCACCUCAAGUGGACAGAGAGGACGAUGAUGAAGUUGUAGAAUUUGUUGAUCGUUAUGUCACUUGUGAAAUGCCAGCUGAAGAUGAAACAGAAAUGCAUGAAAUUGUGAGCACUGUCCAACAGCACAGCAAAAGACAUGCAAAAACGUGUAGAAAGAAAGGCACUGCAUGUAGAUUUAACUUUCCACGUCCACCUAGCAAAAAUACUUUCAUUACAAGAAGCAGACAAACAGAUAAUAAUGAAAAAACAACAGUUGAUGGACAAUGUGAAAGUAAAGACCAAAAGGUAAACAAUUCUAAAGAGAUAUCAAAAGAAUUAGCUGAAAGUAUAAUGAAAAAAGUAAGAGAAUGUUUGCUGAACAGUGAUGCUGUCUUUGACUCUGUUGACUCUAUGUUUGCAUCUAUUGGUAUAAAUCAAGAGAUAUUUGAAUGCGCUUAUAACAAAAUGACAAAGAAAACAAAUGUUGUGCUGAAAAGGAAACCAAGUGAUGUUUGGGUGAAUCAGUAUAAUAAAGAUCUUUUGCGAUGCUGGAAUGCAAACAUGGACAUACAGUUUGUUGUUGAUGCUUACUCUUGCAUAGUGUAUAUCAUUUCCUACAUUUCAAAAGCAGAGAGAGAAAUGGGAUUGCUGUUGGCAAAUGCACAGAAAGAAGCACACAAGGAUGGCAAUAUGGAUGCAAAACAAGCUUUAAGAAAACUUGGAAGUGUUUUUCUUCAUAAUAGAGAGGUCUCAGCUCAAGAGAGUGUUUAUCGUUUGACUAAUAUGAGAUUAAAAGAAGGAUCAAGGAAAGUGGUUUUUAUUCCAACUGGUAUAAAUACAGUAAAAAUGAGUUUACCUUUAAAUAUCAUAAAUAAAAAGGCUGAAAAGGAAGAAACUGACAAUGAUGAAAUAUGGAUGAAAAGCAUCACAGACAGAUACAGAGCUCGUCCAAAAUCUCAAGAAUUUACAGGAAUGUGUUUAGCGUCCUUUGCAUCAGAAUACAGAGUUCUGUCCAAAUCUGAAAAGUCAUGCACAGACCGAGUAAAACUGGAAAAUGAUAUGGGGUUUGUGAGAAAAAGAACUCGUACAGAUUUUGCAGUUGUACGAUAUGCUCGUUUUUCACCAACUAAAAAUCCUGAAAAUUAUUAUCAAAGUAUUUUGGAAUUAUUCUUGCCUCAUUUUUUGCAAAGUCAACUGAAACCACCAAAUUUCACUUCAUAUCAGGAUUUUUAUGAAACUGGAUUUGUAACAUUGUAUAAUGAUGAACUUGAGUCAGUGAAAAUCAUAGUGGACACAAACAGGUCAAAAUUUGAAAAAGAAGCAGAGACAAUACAAAGAGCUCAAGAUGACUUAGAACAACAUGGACCAAUGGAAGAUGCUUGGGCCCAAAUCUGUCCAGAAGCAGAACUUGAGCGUUUAGAAUGUCUGCUACAUUGCCAUAUCAACCACUUGGAGAUGAAAAAAUUAAUUCCUUGA
ensembl:lncRNA